rnacentral:rRNA from 1 species
UGCGGUGUGCUUAACACAUGCAAGUCGAACGGAAAGGCCCUGCUUUUGUGGGGUGCUCGAGUGGCGAACGGGUGAGUAACACGUGAGUAACCUGCCCUUGACUUUGGGAUAACUUCAGGAAACUGGGGCUAAUACCGGAUAGGAGCUCCUGCUGCAUGGUGGGGGUUGGAAAGUUUCGGCGGUUGGGGAUGGACUCGCGGCUUAUCAGCUUGUUGGUGGGGUAGUGGCUUACCAAGGCUUUGACGGGUAGCCGGCCUGAGAGGGUGACCGGCCACAUUGGGACUGAGAUACGGCCCAGACUCCUACGGGAGGCAGCAGUGGGGAAUAUUGCACAAUGGGCGGAAGCCUGAUGCAGCAACGCCGCGUGCGGGAUGACGGCCUUCGGGUUGUAAACCGCUUUCGCCUGUGACGAAGCGUGAGUGACGGUAAUGGGUAAAGAAGCACCGGCUAACUACGUGCCAGCAGCCGCGGUGAUACGUAGGGUGCGAGCGUUGUCCGGAUUUAUUGGGCGUAAAGGGCUCGUAGGUGGUUGAUCGCGUCGGAAGUGUAAUCUUGGGGCUUAACCCUGAGCGUGCUUUCGAUACGGGUUGACUUGAGGAAGGUAGGGGAGAAUGGAAUUCCUGGUGGAGCGGUGGAAUGCGCAGAUAUCAGGAGGAACACCAGUGGCGAAGGCGGUUCUCUGGGCCUUUCCUGACGCUGAGGAGCGAAAGCGUGGGGAGCGAACAGGCUUAGAUACCCUGGUAGUCCACGCUGUAAACGGUGGGUACUAGGUGUGGGGUCCAUUCCACGGGUUCCGUGCCGUAGCUAACGCUUUAAGUACCCCGCCUGGGGAGUACGGCCGCAAGGCUAGAACUCAAAGGAAUUGACGGGGCCCCGCACAAGCGGCGGAGCAUGCGGAUUAAUUCGAUGCAACGCGUAGAACCUUACCUGGGUUUGACAUGGAUCGGGAGUGCUCAGAGAUGGGUGUGCCUCUUUUGGGGUCGGUUCACAGGUGGUGCAUGGCUGUCGUCAGCUCGUGUCGUGAGAUGUUGGGUUAAGUCCCGCAACGAGCGCAACCCUUGUUCACUGUUGCCAGCACGUUAUGGUGGGGACUCAGUGGAGACCGCCGGGGUCAACUCGGAGGAAGGUGGGGAUGACGUCAAGUCAUCAUGCCCCUUAUGUCCAGGGCUUCACGCAUGCUACAAUGGCUGGUACAGAGAGUGGCGAGCCUGUGAGGGUGAGCGAAUCUCGGAAAGCCGGUCUCAGUUCGGAUUGGGGUCUGCAACUCGACCUCAUGAAGUCGGAGUCGCUAGUAAUCGCAGAUCAGCAACGCUGCGGUGAAUACGUUCCCGGGGCUUGUACACACCGCCCGUCAAGUCAUGAAAGUUGGUAACACCCGAAGCCGGUGGCCUAACCGUUGUGGGGGAGCCGUCGAAGGUGGGACUGGUGAUUAGGACUAA